rnacentral:rRNA from 1 species
ACUCCUACGGGAGGCAGCAGUGGGGAAUUUUGGACAAUGGGCGAAAGCCUGAUCCAGCAAUGCCGCGUGUGUGAAGAAGGCCUUCGGGUUGUAAAGCACUUUUGUCCGGAAAGAAAUCCUUGGCUCUAAUACAGUCGGGGGAUGACGGUACCGGAAGAAUAAGCACCGGCUAACUACGUGCCAGCAGCCGCGGUAAUACGUAGGGUGCGAGCGUUAAUCGGAAUUACUGGGCGUAAAGCGUGCGCAGGCGGUUUGCUAAGACCGAUGUGAAAUCCCCGGGCUCAACCUGGGAACUGCAUUGGUGACUGGCAGGCUAGAGUAUGGCAGAGGGGGGUAGAAUUCCACGUGUAGCAGUGAAAUGCGUAGAGAUGUGGAGGAAUACCGAUGGCGAAGGCAGCCCCCUGGGCCAAUACUGACGCUCAUGCACGAAAGCGUGGGGAGCAAACAGGAUUAGAAACCCGGGUAGUCCCAUGAU